rnacentral:rRNA from 1 species
AUUGAACGCUGGCGGCAGGCCUAACACAUGCAAGUCGAACGAGUGGCGGACGGGUGAGUAAUGUCUGGGAAACUGCCUGAUGGAGGGGGAUAACUACUGGAAACGGUAGCCAAUACCGCAUACCAUCGGGUGUGCCCAGAUGGGAUUGGCGAGUGGGUGGGGUAAAGGCUCACCUAGGCGACGAUCCCUAGCUGGUCUGAGAGGAUGACCAGCCACACUGGAACUGAGACACGGCCCAGACUCCUACGGGAGGCAGCAGUGGGGAAUCUUCGACAAUGGGCGCAAGCCUGAUGCAGCCAUGCCGCGUGUAUGAAGAAGGCCUUCGGUUUGUAAAGUACUUUCAGCGGGGAGGCGUUACCCGCAGAGAAAGCACCGGCUAACUACGUGCCAGCAGCCGCGGUAAUAC